CUACGGGUGGCAGCAGUGGGGAAUAUUGGACAAUGGGCGAAAGCCUGAUCCAGCCAUGCCGCGUGUGUGAAGAAGGCCUUCGGGUUGUAAAGCACUUUCAGUGGGGAAGAAAGCCUUGGGGCUAAUACCCUCGAGGAAGGACAUCACCCACAGAAGAAGCACCGGCUAACUCCGUGCCAGCAGCCGCGGUAAUACGGAGGGUGCGAGCGUUAAUCGGAAUUACUGGGCGUAAAGCGCGCGUAGGCGGUCUGAUAAGCCGGUUGUGAAAGCCCCGGGCUCAACCUGGGAACGGCAUCCGGAACUGUCAGGCUAGAGUGCAGGAGAGGAAGGUAGAAUUCCCGGUGUAGCGGUGAAAUGCGUAGAGAUCGGGAGGAAUACCAGUCGCGAAGGCGGCCUUCUGGACUGACACUGACGCUGAGGUGCGAAAGCGUGGGUAGCAAACAGGAUUAGAUACCCUAGUAGUC
rnacentral:rRNA from 1 species